rnacentral:misc_RNA from 1 species
GUAACAAGGUCUCCGUUGGUGAACCAGCGGAGGGAUCAUUACCGAGUUUACAACUCCCAAACCCAAUGUGAACGUUACCAAACUGUUGCCUCGGCGGGAUCUCUGCCCCGGGUGCGUCGCAGCCCCGGACCAAGGCGCCCGCCGGAGGACCAACCAAAACUCUUAUUGUAUACCCCCUCGCGGGUUUUUUACUAUCUGAGCCAUCUCGGCGCCCCUCGUGGGCGUUUCGAAAAUGAAUCAAAACUUUCAACAACGGAUCUCUUGGUUCUGGCAUCGAUGAAGAACGCAGCGAAAUGCGAUAAGUAAUGUGAAUUGCAGAAUUCAGUGAAUCAUCGAAUCUUUGAACGCACAUUGCGCCCGCCAGUAUUCUGGCGGGCAUGCCUGUCCGAGCGUCAUUUCAACCCUCGAACCCCUCCGGGGGGUCGGCGUUGGGGAUCGGCCCUUUACGGGGCCGGCCCCGAAAUACAGUGGCGGUCUCGCCGCAGCCUCUCCUGCGCAGUAGUUUGCACACUCGCAUCGGGAGCGCGGCGCGUCCACAGCCGUUAAACACCCCAAACUUCUGAAAUGUUGACCUCGGAUCAGGUAGGAAUACCCGCUGAACCUAAGCAUA